rnacentral:rRNA from 1 species
AUGAACUUCCCUCUACGUCACUGCGACCUUCCCUCCCCUCCGGUGCGGCCUGCCCUCUGCUCUGGCGCGCCCUCCUACUCCUCCUCCACGCGCGGCAUGAACCCCGCCUUCGACCGCAAGCUCAUCAGCCCGGCCAUGUACUUCGGCCUCAUGGGCGACGGCCAGCCCAUCGGACGCUACGAUGACAUGUGGCCAGCUAGUGAUCUGUUAGGAGUCAAGACUGGGCUGCCCUACAUCUGGCACAACAAGGCCAGCAACCCGUUUAAGUGCUACAUCUCGCUCUCGCAUCAGGUCAAGGAGAAGCUCAGCAAGAUCAACCCCUACUUCGUCAAGCUCGCCGACGCCAUGGUCACCUGGAUCGAGGCCUGGGACAUGCUCAACUCCAAGGACUCCAAGGAGGACGACGCCAACGGCAAGCUCAAGGGGAAGUAG